AUUGACCGCUGGCGGCAGGCCUAACACAUGCCAGUCGAACGAUUGGCGGCCGGGUGAGUACUGUCUGGGCAACUGCCUGAUGUAGGGGGAUAACUACUGGAAACGGUAGCUAAUACCGCAUACCAUCAGAUGUGCCCCGAUGUGCUUCGCUAGUUGGGGGGGUAACGGCUAACCAAGGCGACGAUCCCUAGCUGGUCUGAGAGGAUGACGAGCAACACUGGAACUGAGACACGGUCCAGACUCCUACGGGAGGCAGCAGUGGGGAAUAUGGCACAAUGGGCGCAAGCCUGAUGCAGCCAUGCCGCGUGUAUGAAGAAGGCCUUCGGGUUGUAAAGUACUUUCAGCGGGGAGGCGUUACCCGCAGAAGAAGCACCGGCUAACUCCGUGCCAGCAGCCGCGGUAAUAC
rnacentral:rRNA from 1 species